rnacentral:tRNA from 1 species
UCCCUGGUGGUCCAGUGGCUGAGACACCAAACUCCCAACGCAGGAGGCCCAGGUUCAAUCCCUGGUCAGGGAA